GUGUCAGCCGCCGCGGUAAUACGGAGGGUGCAAGCGUUAUCCGGAUUCACUGGGUUUAAAGGGUGCGUAGGUGGGUUUGUAAGUCAGUGGUGAAAUCUCCGAGCUUAACUCGGAAACUGCCAUUGAUACUAUAGAUCUUGAAUCAUCUGGAGGUAAGCGGAAUAUGUCAUGUAGCGGUGAAAUGCUUAGAUAUGACAUAGAACACCAAUUGCGAAGGCAGCUUACUACGGGUGUAUUGACACUGAGGCACGAAAGCGUGGGGAUCAAACAGGAUUAGAAACCCCCGUAGUCC
rnacentral:rRNA from 1 species